rnacentral:rRNA from 1 species
AUUGAACGCUGGCGGAAUGCUUUACACAUGCAAGUCGAACGGUAGAGGGGGCAACCCCUCGAGAGUGGCGAACGGGUGAGUAAUAUAUCGGAACGUGCCCUGUCGUGGCGGAUAACGUAGCGAAAGUUACGCUAAUACCGCAUACGAUCUAAGGAUGAAAGCGGGGGAUCGCCAGACCUCGCGCCAUUGGAGCGGCCGAUAUCAGAUUAGGUAGUUGGUGGGGUAAAGGCUCACCAAGCCAACGAUCUGUAGCUGGUCUGAGAGGACGGCCACCCACACUGGAACUGAGACACGGUCCAGACUCCUACGGGAGGCAGCAGUGGGGAAUUUUGGACAAUGGACGCAAGUCUGAUCCAGCCAUUCCGCGUGCAGGAUGAAGGCCCUCGGGUUGUAAACUGCUUUUGUACGGAACGAAAAGGUCUCUCUUAAUACGGGGGACUCAUGACGGUACCGUAAGAAUAAGCACCGGCUAACUACGUGCCAGCCGCCGCCGUAA